AGGAAUCCAACAUUCCCUGUGGAUGGAGAGAGGGAUUGGGAGCAUCCCUGGAGCAGGGAAUGAGGAAUCCAACAUUCCCUGUGCAUGGAGAGAGGGAUUGGGAACAUCCCUGGAGCAGGGAAUGAGGAAUCCAACAUUCCUUGGUCAUGGAAUAUUUCCCUGACCCGGCAAGGAAAAGCCAAGGAUUUUUUGGGCUCCAACGGCUCCGUUUCCCUCCCUUUCCCCGCCCGUUGUAGAACGAACGGAAUUUGGGAGCAGAAAAUUCCCUCGCCCAAGCACCGGGCACUUGAAAGCCUCCGGAACAGCCGGGAAAUCGGGAGAUGUCGGUGGGAAAAGACUUCUCACGCCAUCACCUUUUCUUCCAAGGAAAACAGGAACCAACCUGGGGACAAGGAGAUCAUUCCCAGGCAGGGCCGGUUUUCCCAAUCCUUGCCUUUUUUUGGGAAGUCCCUGCCUGAUUUGGGCUCUCCGGAAGAGCUGGAGCAAGCCCGGGAAGGUUUUGGGGAUGGAGGGGGCAUUUCCCAACCCAAAUUUUUCUUCCUGUUCAUUCUCCCUUUGUUUUUCCAUCUAUUUAUUCUUUCUUUGGGAAUCUUUGCCAUGGCUCGGGCACAGCCGGAGCCAUCCCAAGGAGCGUUAUCCCAGGAGGAGCCGUCCUUAUCAGCGUUAUCCCGAUCCUUAUCAGCAUUAGCCCGGCCUUAUCUGCAUUAUCCCGGUCCUUAUCAGCUUUAUCCUGAGUGGAGCUGGCCUUAUCAGUGUUAUCCUGGUCCUUAUCAGCGUUAUCCCGGGAGACGCUGGAUUAUCAACGUUUUCCCGGUUCCUUAUCAGCGUUUUCCCGGUUCCUUAUCAGCGUUUUCCCGGUCCUAAUCAGCGUUAUCCCGAGUGGAACUGUCCCAGGGAUCGUUAUCCCGGGAGGAGCCGGCCCUAUCAGCGUUUUCCCGCUCCUUAUCAGCAUUUUCCCAGUCCUUAUCAGCGUUAUCCCGGGAGGAGCCAGCAUUUUCCCAGUCCUUAUCAGCAUUUCCCCGCUCCUUAUCAGUGUUUUCCCGCUCCUUAUCACCCCGGCCUAGGGGCUGCCGGAGCCGCCUCUUUCCAUCCCGGUUUGGGGCCGUGAAGAGCAAAACCGGGAGAGAUCCAAUCCCUCCAAUCCCGUUUUCUUUCCCCCCUUCCCUUGAUUAAAAUCCCACCCUCGUCCUGCAGUGUCGCUUUCUGAAUUCCCAAAUCCCUUUUUUCCCGCGUUCCCAACUUUGUGGGGCCGGUUAUUCCCGGUCUCCCAUCCUCGGGAAUACCAAACCGAUUUGCAACUCCAAAGGGAUCCUUCCGAAAGAGACGGAGCGGGAUCAGAGCUGCUCCGAAUCGGGAGAUUCCCGAUCCAUGCGUGGAUAAUCGGAGGCUGGAACAGAUAGUGGAGGCGCGCUUGGAAGCGUUGUAUCCAUGGAAAGGAGGGAAUGCUCGCUUCCAGGGGGGUUCCUUGGAGCGGGAAGGCAGCCAGGGGCUGGGAGAAGGGAAAAGUGGAGCCGGAAUCACCCCAGAAGGGAAAUUUCCCCGGAGCGGGAUCUUUAAACUGCUCCAUGAGGGAAUUUCUCCCAUCCUCAUGGGAUGGAUGAGGUGGGAUGAGGCUGCCGGAGGGGAGGGAUGGAUCCCUUGACUGGAAAGCGGGAAUGCUGCCGGGGGGAAGGUGGAAAUCUGCUGGAAAGGCAGGAUGGGGCUUCCGGAUGGUGGGAUGGGAUAACGGUCCCGACUGGAAAGGUGGGAUGUUUCCAGCUGGAAAGGUGGGAUAAUGCUCCCGACUGGAAAGGCCGGAUGUUUCCAGUUGGUGGGGUGGGAUAACGGUCCCGACUGGAAAGGCGGGAUGCUUCCAGCUGGAAAGGUGGGAUGGGAUGAUGCUGCCUGGAAAGGCGGGAUGCUUCCAGCUGGAAAGGUGGGAUGACGUUUCCAGCCAGGGAGGUGGGAAGUCACAGACCGGAAAGGCGGGAUGGGAGCAGCUGGAGAGGUGGGAUGGGAUGAUGCUGCCUGGAAAUGUGGGAUGUUCCCAGCUGGAGAGGUGGGAUGGGAGGAUUCUGCCCGGAAAGGCAGGAUGAUCCCAGCUGGAAAAGCAGGAUGGUGCUGCCAGCCGGGAAGGUGGGAUGGUGCCAAUGGCGUCGUGGGAUGGGAUGGUGCCAGCUGGUGAGGCGGGAUGGUGCUGCUGACCGGAAAAAUGGGAUGCUGCUGGCCAGAAAGGUGGGAUUCUCUUGUCCAAAAAAGUGAGAUUCUGGGGACCAUAAAAAUGGGAUUCUGGAGAUCAGAGUUGUGGGAUGCUGAGGAUCAGAAAGGUGGGAUUCUGAGGACCGGAAAAGUGGGACACUGAGGAUGAAAAAGGUGGGAUGCUACGGAGCAAAAAAGUGGGAUGCUGAGGACCAGAAAGGUGGGAUUCUGGGGAUCAGAAAGGUGGGAUUCUCUGGACCAAAAACGUGGGAUUCUGGGGACCAAAAAAGUAGGAUACUGAGGAUGAGAAAGGUGGGAUUCCAGGGAUCAGAAAGGUGGGAUUCUGAGGACCAACAAGGUGGGAUUCUCUGGACCAAAAACGUGGGAUUCUGGGGACCAAAAAAGUAGGAUACUGAGGAUGAGAAAGGUGGGAUUCCAGGGAUCAGAAAGGUGGGAUUCUGAGGACCAACAAGGUGGGAUUCUCUGGACCAAAAACGUGGGAUUCUGGGGACCAAAAAAGUAGGAUACUGAGGAUGAGAAAGGUGGGAUUCCAGGGAUCAGAAAGGUGGGAUGUUGAGGAGCAAAAAAAUGGGAUGCUGAGGACCAACACGGUGGGAUUGUCUGGUCCAAAAAAGUGGGAUACUGAGGAUCAGAAAUGUGGGAUUCCGAGGAUCGGAAAUGUGGGUUGUUGAGGACCAGAAAAGUGGGAUUCUGGGGGCCAGGAAAGUGGGAUUCUGGGGAUCAGAAUUGUGGGAUGCCAAGAACCAAAAAAGUGGGAUGCUGAGGACCAACAUGGUGGGAUUGUCUGGUCCAAAAAAGUGGGAUACUGAGGAUCAGAAAUGUGGGAUUCUGAGGAUC